AUGAGUAUAAUCAGUUUAUAGAAGAGAUUAACCAAGUUGAAGGACAUAGUCCAUGUCUAAACUUGUUCAUAAUUUUAAAAAUGGUGACAGGCAUGAAUAGCAGGUAAUUCCAUAUAAAUUAGUACUUGAGCCCCAACAAAGCUGCUUAGAGAAGUUUCCUUUAAUUUUAAUAUAGUGGCUCCCUCAAAUAUUCAGCAUUUAUGGCAUUGCUGACAUUUGUUCAUUACAGAAGUGAUUUUAGCCACUACUAUGAAAAACAGAAUGAGCGAGAAAAUCAAAUACCUUGGGAAAAUCAGGUGGAGUCCCCCUACAUUGCCCAGGCUGGUCUCGAACUCCAGGACUGAAGGGAUCCUUCCACCUUGGCUUCCCAAAGUGCUAGGAUUACAGCACUUAGGGAGGCCAAGGCAAGAGGAUCACUUGACCCCAGGAGCGCAAGACCAGCCUGGACGUGGCAAAACCCUGUCUCUACAAAAAAAAAAAAAAAUUGCCGGGUGCAGUAGUACAUGCCUGUGGCCCCAAGCUAUUGAGGAGGCUGAGGCAAGAGGGUCACCUGAUCCCAGAAGGCAGAGGUUGAAGUGAGGUGAAAUUGCACCACUGCAUUUCACCCUGGGUGAAAGAGCAACAUCUUGUCUAAAAGGAAAAAAAAAAAAAAAGAUAGCAACAAAAACAAUGGCUACAUUGUAAUUAGCCUCUCAUUAUAUUAAAAUAUUUAGUUUAUGUCUGCAAUUUUCAUUUUGUUGAUUUUGUAUUUCCAUUUUCACAAUGCUAAUAAAGACAUACCUGAGACUUGGUGAUUUAUACAGGAC
rnacentral:lncRNA from 1 species